rnacentral:rRNA from 1 species
CGCAAGCCUGACGGAGCAACGCCGCGUGAGGGAGGAAGGCCUGUGGGUUGUAAACCUCUUUUCUCUGGGAAGAAGACCUGACGGUACCAGAGGAAUCAGCAUCGGCUAACUCCGUGCCAGCAGCCGUGGUAAGACGGAGGAUGCAAGCGUUAUCCGGAAUUAUUGGGCGUAAAGCGUCCGCAGGCGGCCAAUUAAGUCUGCUGUCAAAGCCUAGGGCUCAACCCUAGAUCGGCAGUGGAAACUGGUUGGCUAGAGUACGGUAGGGGUAGAGGGAAUUCCCAGUGUAGCGGUGAAAUGCGUAGAUAUUGGGAAGAACACCAGUGGCGAAGGCGCUCUACUGGGCCGAAACUGACGCUGAGGGACGAAAGCUAGGGGAGCG